GGGAAUAUCGAAGGCCAUUCCGCAACCUUCGUGCGACCCUUCAAUCCAUAUAGUUCUCCAUUCGAAGUUCAUAUCCAGAUCUGAUCCAUUCGAGUGAGCCGAUCUUAGGGUCCUUCAAGUGGUAUCAGAGCCACUCGUUUGGUAUCUUCUAAAUCAUUCAUCUUUCUCAUCUUCCAUUUCUAAAUCAUAAACACUUGUUCUUCUAUCUAUCUUGAAUCUGGGCCCCUCAUUACCAUCC
rnacentral:lncRNA from 1 species